AGGCUGUCCGCAGCUGGAGUAUUUUAUUACCCUUGUCUUUUGCGCACUUGUUGUUUCCUGGGCGGGUUCGCUCGCCACCAGGACCACCAAAUAAACCUUUUUUAUGCAGUUGCAAUCAGCGUCAGUACAAACAAUGUAAAUCAUUUACAACUUUCAACAACGGAUCUCUUGGUUCUGGCAUCGAUGAAGAACGCAGCGAAAUGCGAUACGUAGUGUGAAUUGCAGAAUUCAGUGAAUCAUCGAAUCUUUGAACGCACAUUGCGCCCUUUGGUAUUCCAAAGGGCAUGCCUGUUCGAGCGUCAUUUGUACCCUCAAGCUUUGCUUGGUGUUGGGCGUUUUUGUCUUUGGUCGCCCAAAGACUCGCCUUAAAGUGAUUGGCAGCCGGCCUUUCUGGUUUCGCAGCGCAGCACAUUUUUGCGCUUGCCAUCAGCAAAACGGCAAUCCAUCAAGCCUCCUUCUCACGUUUGACCUCGGAUCAGGUAGGGAUACCCGCUGAACUUAAGCAUAUCAAUAA
rnacentral:rRNA from 1 species